AAUAAAGAAAAGCAAGAUGAAACAGAGAAAAACAAUGAAUUCAAAAUGUCUUUGAAAGGCUUAUAAAAUAGUCAAAUUCAUCACACAACUAGUCAAGAAAAAAAUUUAAAAGGGGAUAUCAUUACAGGGACAGUAGGGACCUUUUCCAGUCUUUACAGAAUGUUAGGAAUAGUUUAAUGUCAGUAAAUUUGAAAACUAGGUUUCAGGGAACAAUUUUACAGAUUAAUUUAAAAAGUAUCAAUGCUGAUCAAAGGAAAAAUAGGCAAACUGAAUAUCUAUUAAAUUAAAUUGAGUUAAAAGUCUAUCUCACUACCCUUGUCUUUUCAUAUCCUUGCCUUCCCACAAACCAAAAUAUCAACACGAGCAGAUCCAGACAGUUUUAUAGACAACUUUUACUAAACUUUCAAGCAAUACAAAAGCCCUGUCUUACACAAACUGUUCCAGAGAAUAAUAAAAGGAGGAAUUCUCCCAAACUCAUGUUUUAUGAGGCUAGGAUGACCUUGAUUCCAAUACAUGACAACUGAGGAAAAUUAUAGCAGAUUUCACUUAUUAACACAGAUGCUAAUAUACUCCACAUAGAAUAAACAAAAUCUUUCCACCCCACAGUGACCGAGAGGAGUUCCUCAGGGUAGAUGUAAAUCAGCCUUCUCCAGUCAUCCUUUAUCAUCAGACAAGAAUGUGAAGUACUGGCUACUCCCCCAAAGAGAUCAGAUGGGCCCCAUUCACUGGAACUGCGACCACACCCUCCACCCGAGGCCUUCAACCUCCUCCUCCAUGAUCAGAAACCAAGAGGGGACUUACCAACAUCAAAGGACUUCAAGUGGACCUAAGUCUAUGCUCCCCCACACCUUUCGGUUUCUUUUAACAAGAUCAAGAUAGAACUCAUGAGUGUUCCACAAAGCUUGGAAGUCACCACUCCAUCCUAACAAGUACAAAGCUAACAGAAUGAAUAAUCAACAAUGUUUCUUGUGUCUUUAAGAGAGGGGAGGGCAAACCAUUGCCCCAGUGAUUGGAGAGACAGACAGGAAACUCCAGGGAGUCAUGGCUCCCUGGAACAGACUGUCAUGAGCCCAAAGUGUAACAAGGAACCAAUACCAGGGAACUGUGAUCGCUCAUCUGCUGGAGACUCAGUGCAGACAGCUCUAAGAGUGAGGGAUGUUGGGAGACCCAGUCAUAGGGGGCCCCACAAUUUUGAGAUUACCUUUAGGAGCUCGUCCAGGUUUUCACAGUAAAUAUCACAGAAAAAUUUUCUUAGACUUCCAGCAGGAGGAGGGAAAAAGGAACCAUUAUGAAACACAACACAUCACUCUGUUCUUCUUAAUAAAACAUGCCCUCAAAAGAAACGAGUUAACAGAGCCUAAUCUCCUGGAGUAUUAGCAAAGCCUAAUGACCUAAGGGAAGAGAAAUACUCAACUCCAGCCCCCUCUAGUCAUAUGUCCCAUCUAAGCAAGGAGAAAAAAAAUUAGGAACACCAGUGAAGUUCCCAGUCCAGAGGCAUAAAGCUCAAUAAAUGGUUGAGAUCUAAUCAUAGGGCCAUAGACCACUUUCCCUGCCCCCACAUCUUACCACCACAUUACUAAAGACCUAUUUACAGCAGUUCCUUUUAUUCACCACAUCAUGUCCAGCUAUUAGGAAAAAGCUACAUGGGAUACUAAAGACAAAAACACAAUUUAAAGAGAAAGCAAGCAUCAGAACCAGACAUGGUAGGAAUGUUGGAAUUAUCAAACCACAAGUUAGAAAUGGCUAUGAUUAAUACACUAAGGGCUCUUAAUGAAUAAAGUAGACAGCAUUGCAAGAACAGAUGGGCAAUAUAAGAAGAGAGAUGGAAAUCUAAAAAAGAACCAAAAAGGGAUGCCAGAGAUCAAGAAUAUUGUAACAGAAAUGAAGAAUGCCUUUGAAGGGUUUAUUAGUAGACUGGACAAGGCUGAGGAAAGAAUUUCCAAGCUAGAGAAUAUAUCAAUAGAAACUUCCAACUCUGAAAAGCAAAGAAAACAAACACUGAAAGAAAGAAAAUAAAAAACAGAAUAUCGAAGGACCAGGGGAAAAACUACAAAAGAUAUAACAAACACAAAAUAGGAAAAUCAGAAAGAAAAGAAAGAGUAAUGAACAGAAGAAAUAUUGGAAACAAUAAUGACUAUGAAUUACCCCCAAAUUAAUACCAAACCACAGAUCCAGGAAUCUCCAAGAACACCAAGCAGGAUAAAUGCCCCCCAAAAAAGAACUAUACCUAGGCACAUCAUUUUCAAACUACAAAAAAAGCUAAGAUGAAAAAGCCAGAGGAAAAAAUACACCCUACUGAUAGACAAAGAUAAAAAUUACAUCUGACUUCUCCUGAGAAACCAGGCAGGGAAUAGGAGAAUGGAAUAAAAUAUUUGAAGUGUUGAGAGAAAACACCCACUAUCCUAGAAUUCUGUACCCUGUAAAAUUAUCUUGUAAAAGUGAAGGAGAAAUACUUUCCAGGCAAACAAUAAUUGAGAUAAUUUGUUGCCAGUAGAACUGCCUUGCAAGAAAUGUUAAAAGAAGUUCUUCAGAGGGAAGGAAAAUAAUACAGACAAGCCAGUUGGAUCUACAUAAAGAAUGGGAAAGCAUGGAAGAAGGAAAAAAGUUAAGCGAGCCGUUGUAAAGGCAGCGCACCCCGGAGCAGUGAGAGUGGCCCCGCCAAGCUCUUCCCCAGGAACCGCUCUCCGCAUCGCGGCAGCAAGCUGCUGGAGCUUUGAACUGCGUGAGCAUCUGUGCUUCAUCUCGAUUUAUUUUGUGCAUCCGUUCACAAGAUGUGCCCUAAGAUGGCAGGGAAACCUGUAAUUGGGCCCACGCUCUCGCAUGGGAACUUGAUAGAGUUAACGCUGGGUCCUUGUGGAUGACAGAGGAUGAGGCUAUGCUGUGCUGACUAGCCUCUGCCCCUAACGGCCCCUCUCUAAGGAGCUGGUAAGAACCCUUAACCAACCGGUGUGGCUGGGGAUCCAGGUGUGUGGGAAUCCUCUUGUGUGUGUUCUAUGCUGGAGUUCCACGGAGGCAGUUCGGAGCUGUCUGCUCCUUCCUCUGAGAUUGGUGUUUAAAAAUUCAGGCUGCAUUGUUGAUUCAAUAGGAGGAUAGCUUUCCUCCUACAUGCCCUGCAAAGCGAUGGCUGUAUUUCUAAGAGACAGUUUAGAGACCAGAUCUGCUGUCUGGUGCUCCCUCAGAAAGAACGAAACCAAGCUGCUUUAUAACCUGGAAGGAGGCUGUUAGUUUGUUUGAAAUGGCUCCCUCUAGACUCUGAAUCAUGAGAGAAGCAAGCCUUUUUGAGUUUGACCCUAACAUACUGACUACCUGUUCUUCAAGAUCCUAACCUUGAACUUGCAGCCUUUUGCUGGAUCACCUGCCCCCAAACAGAACAUUUUACUUCCUUCUGCUCAUGCUUUUACUUUUCAACUGUUUCACCAAGAAAACUGAUUUGUCAUUAACAUCUAAAAAUAAAUUCAAAUCCUAUUAUGUGACACAACUUUCCAUACUAGAGCAGAGAUUAUCAGGAAACCAACAAUAAAGGGUCUUCGGCAAAGCAGCUCCUUACCAAAUGUUUGUUUCAUUUACUUAUUUGUUUGCUCAUCAAACAUUUCCUGUGUUCGUACCUUGUACCAGAUACCAUGCUAGACACUGGGAGACAGAGACAAGCAGACCCCUGUCUCUGGGGAGUUCAUAGCCCAGUGCGAUGACUUUCACCCAAGCAAGGAACUGUAUGAUGUUGGAUGAGCCAUGCGAACUGUCUUUCAAGGACAUCGUGCGAUUCUGGGGAGUGAUCUGUGUUGGAGUCGAGAGGGAAGGAUGGAAGAAUUGUGAAGAGCAGGCAUUGUCAUCAGAUACAAGGAAGCGUGAGUCAUAGCCCAGGCCCUGCUCCUUAUGAGCUGUGAGAUAUCUGGAAAAUUACUUAACCUCUCUGAGC